ACUUGACUGAAUUCCUGAAACAAAGAGAAGUCUCUGAGGAAAUUAUACAGACCUUGGAGAAUGAGAAGGUACUUACUUCCAACAAGAUACUGGUUGAAAUGCAACUUUUCCUCAUUGUUCUUAAGUUAAAAAUAGGACUGUAUUUUCAAGGCUGGUUGUUUUAAUAAAUUAAAUUAUUUUUCCAUCUUUAGAUUGAUGCCAGUGUCAUAAGUCUAAUGACAGAUGAGGAGCUGAAGACUUAUUUGCCAUCAUAUGGUGAUCGUCUAGCAGUAUUUGGAUUUUGCAGACGGAGGGGCAGCAGCCGCAAGUCAGCGCUUUUUGAACGGCUGAAAUCCAAAGUGUCCAAAAGAAAAUUAUCUGAAGAGGAUGGCAGUAGCACACGGCAAGAAGAACAUUCCCAAACAACCCAUAAAAGAAAUGCUCUGAAGAGAAAUAGAAAAAUAGAAAUAGGAUGGAUGCAUUAUGAUGAAGACACUGAGGUUUUCAAGCAGGUUAGAACUAGACGAGGAGGAGGAACAAGAAAAAUAGACAUUUGCAAGGAUGCCAAGAAAAGGGACAUAUUACAGGUUGCAACAGGCCUGUUCUUUCCAGAUGGAGGAAACAUUCAGGGGCCCUUAACAGAUUUUGACUGUGAUCUGAAGGAUUAUCAAGAGAUGAUAGUCGAUGAUGCAUUGACAGUAGGAGAACUUUAUCAUGUCACAAAACUAAAUAUCCGCAGGUUCUACCUCACCACAAAGAAAAAACAAAAUGACAGCCUUCAGAGUUCCAGCCCGAGUUUGCAUCCAUCUUCAGAAAUUGAAGAGAGUCCUCAAAACCAAACCUCUUCUUUUACUGUCACUACAGUCCAAACAUCUGCUCCAUUUGAAACGGUCAGCCAUGAUGUGACAUACAUUGAAGACACUCCAAACGAUAACCUUCCACAAUCUUCCACGCAGUCUCUAAGUGCUAACACUUCUCACAGCAGUGACAUUAUUUUUGUUGGCCCCUUUUCUGACAGUGAGCCAAUAAAUUUGGAUGACACCCUGAUUUUUUCUCCACACCCUGGUCCAUCCAGUGAGAGAGUGAGGAGAGUAGUGGUGGUCCACAGAGGGCAGGUAAUGUCAGAGCUCAUUUCACAUUUUAGUGAUAAGGACCUUGAAGAUGUCGACAUCAAAAUCCAGAUCGUACUGCCUGAUGGAACACCUGAAAUGGCCCAUGACGAUGGGGGAGUUGUGAGAGAUUGUCUUUCAGAAUUCUGGAAAGAAUUCUAUGACCAGUGCACCACUGGAAAUGUUUACAAAGUGCCCUUCUUAAGGCAUGAUUUUGGGCAACAGGAGUGGGAGAGUGUGGGCAGAAUCAUUGCAUUUGGAUGGGUUAGAGAGAAAUAUCUGCCUGUGAAAAUUGCACCUGCCAUUCUAGAACAAGCUGCCUUUGGAUAUGUAAAGAGUGAUAUUGUGGAGGAUUUCCUUAAGUUCAUGCCUGAAUCUGAGCGUACAGUGUUAGAGGCGUGGCGAUCAGACUUUAGCAUCGUGGACCAAGAAGAUAACCACAGCUGCAGAAAUAUACCAACAGCCUACAAUGCCACUGAAGUCCUAUUGGAGCUUGCACACAAAACACUUGUCCAAGAGCCUGCGUAUGUUAUUGAACAGUGGGCAAGAACACUCAGCACUGCAUGGGAAAGCAUUUGUGAUCUAUCGUCACUUUUUGAAACCCUCCAACCAAAUGUGAGAAAAGUUAAAAAAAAAUAAUCACUGCCCUGCGUUAAAGAGUGACUUAUGAUGAGGUAUUAAUUGGGUUAACUUUACCUCUAACAGCUUUUCACAUAGUGCUGUGACCAGGGUGAAAUCCAUCAUAAAGUAAUUGUAAACAGUAGAACCCUUAACAUGAAUGUUAUGGUUCUACUCUGAUCAAAACUCAAGUCAGCUGUGUGACCUCAUAUAAAAUGAUAAAGACGAAAACAUAUAAAUGGAUGUAACCUUCACGAACUUUUCAAAAUGACUUUAUAUGUCUGAUCCAUUAUCCACAUAGAGCAGAUGUGGAAAACCACUGUUAGACCUACUCUAUACUAACGUAGUUACUGACACCCCAUACUAAGGCAGGAUUAGUUAUUCUCUUAAACACUUUCUUUUUUCACAUUUUGAGAUUGUGUAAUUUCUAUAAAGAAUACGUGUAAUGGUUCAAUAGA
rnacentral:lncRNA from 1 species